CCUACGGGUGGCAGCAGUGAGGAAUAUUGGUCAAUGGGCGAGAGCCUGAACCAGCCAAGUCGCGUGAGGGAAGACGGUCCUAUGGAUUGUAAACCUCUUUUGCCGGGGAGCAAAAAGCGGUACGUGUACCGCAUCGAGAGUACCCGGAGAAAAAGCAUCGGCUAACUCCGUGCCAGCAGCCGCGGUAAUACGGAGGAUGCGAGCGUUAUCCGGAUUUAUUGGGUUUAAAGGGAGCGCAGGCGGCGAGUUAAGUCAGCGGUAAAAUUUCGGGGCUCAACCCCGACAAGCCGUUGAAACUGGUUGGCUAGAGUGGGCGAGAAGUGUGCGGAAUGCGUGGUGUAGCGGUGAAAUGCAUAGAUAUCACGCAGAACUCCGAUUGCGAAGGCAGCAUACCGGCGCCCAACUGACGCUCAGGCACGAAAGCGUGGGUAUCGAACAGGAUUAGAUACCCGGGUAGUC
rnacentral:rRNA from 1 species